AAUGGGCGCAGGCCUGAACCAGCCAUCCCGCGUGCAGGAUGACGGCCCUAUGGGUUGUGAACUGCUUUUAUACAGGAAGAAAAAUCUCUACGAGUAGGGACCUGCCGGUACUGUAUGAAUAAGCAUCGGCUAACUCCGUGCCAGCAGCCGCGGUAAUACGGAGGAUGCAAGCGUUAUCCGGAUUCAUUGGGUUUGAAGGGUGCGUAGGCGGCCAGUUAAGUCAGUGGUGAAAUCCUGUCGCUCAAGGAUAGAAUNGCCAUUGAUACUGAUUGGCUUGAGUCCAGUUGAGGUAAGCGGAAUGUGUAGUGUAGCGGUGAAAUGCUUAGAUAUUACACAGAACACCGAUUGCGAAGGCAGCUUACUAAACUGUCACUGACGCUGAUGCACGAAAGCGUGGGGAUCGAA
rnacentral:rRNA from 1 species